CAGCAGCCGCGGUAAAACGUAGGGCGCAAGCGUUAUCCGGAAUUAUUGGGCGUAAAGAGCUCGUAGGCGGUUUGUCGCGUCUGCCGUGAAAGUCCGGGGCUCAACCCCGGAUCUGCGGUGGGUACGGGCAGACUAGAGUGAUGUAGGGGAGACUGGAAUUCCUGGUGUAGCGGUGAAAUGCGCAGAUAUUAGGAGGAACACCGAUGGCGAAGGCAGGUCUCUGGGCAUUAACUGACGCUGAGGAGCGAAAGCAUGGGGAGCGAACAGGAUUAGAUAUCCCUGUAGUCCCUGUCUCUAUACA
rnacentral:rRNA from 1 species